AGAGUUUGAUCAUGGCUCAGAUUGAACGCUGGCGGAAUGCUUUACACAUGCAAGUCGAACGGCAGCACGGGGCAACCUGGUGGCGAGUGGCGAACGGGUGAGUAAUACAUCGGAACGUGCCCAAUCGUGGGGAUAACGUAGCGAAAGUUACGCUAAUACCGCAUACGAUCUACGGAUGAAAGCGGGGGAUCGCAAGACCUCGCGCGAAUGGAGCGGCCGAUGUCAGAUUAGGUAGUUGGUGGGGUAAAGGCUCACCAAGCCAACGAUCUGUAGCUGGUCUGAGAGGACGACCAGCCACACUGGAACUGAGACACGGUCCAGACUCCUACGGGAGGCAGCAGUGGGGAAUUUUGGACAAUGGGCGCAAGCCUGAUCCAGCCAUUCCGCGUGCAGGAUGAAGGCCUUCGGGUUGUAAACUGCUUUUGUACGGAACGAAACGGUCUGCCCUAAUACGGUGGGCUAAUGACGGUACCGUAAGAAUAAGCACCGGCUAACUACGUG
rnacentral:rRNA from 1 species